ACUUCAAACCUUCAUCUUAAAGAAGCUUUUUUUUUAUUCUACUUCAUCUGCUUCUGCUGUCAUAUCAUCUUUUCAUCCUUUAAAGUUUAAAAAGGUUCUAUAGAAUGCGUGGAAAUUUAAUUAUCUGGGAAACUUCUGUAUCAGUGAACAAGAUGAGUGGAUUGAGGUUCCUGGUUGCGUGUUCCAUGUGCUAUUUGUUUUUAUUCCUCUAAUAUCCAUUUAUUUUAGUUAUUGCUCUUUCAGAAUCACCUUCUUUUUAAAUGAAAAAUGCAAAAUUGGCAGUCUUUGAAAUUAGGCAAUCAGAACUCCCGAUUUUUGGGUUGAUGUUGUUUUGUUCCAUAAUUCCAAUCAAUACUAAUCUUAUGUUCAUUGAGAAGGACUAGAUUGGUACUCCUAACUGUUCUAAUUGGGGACUGGGGCAAUAUCAAACAUGGCUCUUCAUUUUUCUGUAAUUUGUGCUUGCUGCUUCUGAUUUCUUCAUUAUUUGUUCUUGUUUCAUGUUUAUAAAAUACUACUUGUGCUAUUUCUGAGAAAGUCCCAUUUCGAUGGCACAUUUAAUAUCUACAAGAUGCGAGAACUUAAUUCCUACUGGUUUGCAUUGGGUUCCUUUGCCUAUGAAGUUUUGCACCACUAGAGUGAGUUUGGACAGACCACCUGUUCUUGGGUAAGUGGCAUUCUUGAGUACUUCCAAUCAAGAACUAAAGCAAAGCAGGUUUUCUGUUUUAGUAAAAUUGGUAAUGAAUUGCACCAUUUUGCGCUCAAGUAAACGUGGUUCAAAAAUUCAAUCUGAGAGGCUGAGGUGGACCAAAUUUCUCGCUAAUGCGUUCAAUGAUUAUUCUAGUAGAAACAAUACUUUGACUCACUAUUAGUGGUGCUUGCAAACUGGCCUAGUUUCUUGAACUGUAUAUGUGUAGUCCAAUUCCAUUUUCUCCCCUGUUUCUGGAAUCUGAUGCACAUUGUAUUUCUUUGAUAUUCGUAUUUCUUCCUCGCAUAUUGAGACUGAUUGUGGCUAAGUUGGAAGACAGGUUCGAAGGAAACUCAACACAGGUAGCAGAAUUGGUUACUGCCAAUGGAUUCAAAGCUGCAUUCGCUCUAAAGGAUGGUGCUGAAGGAUCUCGAGGAUGGCUGAACAGUAAGCUUCCUUGGUCACCUCCCAAUAAAUAAUUUCCUUCCUUGGUGACCUCCCAAUAAAUCAUUUCCUAUUGAUUUUAGCAAUUUGAAGGAUACACUCGACGGUUCUCUUGGAUUGAUCAGUAUCUGAAGAACAAAAAGAACAAAAAGGGAAGUACACCAUAGACCAAUGGUAUAUGGUACACCACAAGGGCAUCCAUUGUCUGGCAAAUGACAGUCAGAGUAUAACUGAAAUUUUCAAUGACAGAGAUUCACCUGUGUAUCGUUGAUCUCUAUCAUGGGAAUGGACAGUGAAGUAUAGUGUACCAGGAGGAUUCAAAUGCAAUUUCUGUUGCCUUGGUCUUGCUGCUGCUACAGGAUUGGGUGUACUUGCUAUUUCAGAGAUUGAACUGCACUCCAGCUUUUGGGCUUUGCUGUGGCUUUCCAGUUUAUUACAAGAAGCUCCUAUUUGCAGAGGUUAGUUCUUUGCUGCAAAAGGCAAUACCAUAUAUUUACACCAUUAAACUUAUCUGUACAAAAUUUUCGUGCCACGAAUAGGCAACUUAUAGUCAGGGCUAUAAGUGCAUGGAUGUAGCUCCAUGGUUUAAGCAGGACUUUAUAGCAGUAUGUUCCAUGUCAAACCCUUCCUUGAUUUAUAUGAUACCUUCAGUCCAGCCUCUUUA